rnacentral:siRNA from 1 species
UGACUGUCAUCAUUAGGUGUGU